AAUUGAAUGGAAACCAAACAGCAGUUGUGGUGUAUGAAAGAAUGAUGGAGAGUUCGUCCCCAAUGUGUUUGUUAUAAUUUGAAGAAACAUUAUUUUACCUUUCUGGUUAAUGUCAUCAAAUUAACCUGAAAUUAUAUUAGCAGCAAUUGUCAGUGUUUAUAUCGGGUAAGAAAUUAGAGAAAUGUUAUAACUUUAUUGAAUUAUAGAAUUUAUAUUGUGGCUUAGUUUUUACAUGAACACUUGCAAGCAUUAAAUAAACUUCUCAGUAAAUUGGUUAGUAGCUGACAUGCCACCCACCAAACUUAUUUGAAAGUAUUCAAUACAUUCAUUCUUCUGUACCUUGUAUUUCUUGGAAGUGGUUGUUGAAAGACGUUGAUAGUAGUGUUUGGAAAACAUCAUCAUUAAUCAAAUUCAAUUGAGCAAAUUUACUUCCUGUUUGGUUGGCAAGUUUUGACAAGUGCUUAAUUUCAUUUGACCUUGCCUUAGUUCGAGGUGUAUCGACAAUAUGACAUAACCUGUCUUCAUUAACCAAUACAUUUGGAUGCCAAAAAAAGUCUGCAAUUUAAUUUGGACCCCCAGCUGUUUUUGCCCUUGAAAGUGCUACAAAGAGAGCUCCGGGAUUCUUUGACUCAAAAGACUUUGUACCUGGAUCAAUAACUAUGUAGCGAUUUGUUUCACCAUGUCCGAUUGUCAUGCCUUGACAUCGGUGAAUUGUUGUACCCCAGGCAAGCCUUAAAGGUAAUUGUUUUCGUUUGCAACCAUGACAAUAACAUUCCACUUUUCUUUCUGCAGGUACAAGAGGGACAAUGCAUGGGUUGUCUUUCAUAAAAGGUGGUCCUGUGUACCUUGGGAAAUGCACCAUAACAACAUCUGGUUGACAAAGAGGUGGUUUGUUACCAUUACAGUAUAUAAUGUCAACUAUGGUCCCAAUGGAGCCAUUGAACAAACCAUAGGGAACAUUAAGAUUGCAGAUUUGCACUGUUACCUGUGGGACAAAGGACUUGAACAGAAUCAUGAGAAUGGAACAAGUGUCUUAUUGCCUGUACAAGACAUUUAAUGAGGAACGACUUGCCAGAGCCAGCAGUUCCACUGACCACUAGUCGAAGAGGUGUAAAUGGCCGUGACAAAUAUUUAUCCAGAGGUGUACUUUUUGUGCAAGUGUUGCCAGUUUUUUUCAAGUACCCUUGACCCAGACAUGCUUACUGACUGAAACUGGUGACUGCUGUGAAACAAAGAUUCAGGUGGUGCGGGUGCAUUUCCCUCGGGAGGAGGCCACAGAUCCUUGUUUGGAUUACCAGAGGCAUCAGAACCGGCAGGAUGCAUUGCGGUCAUGGCAAAAUUUUGCUGUGCCCACUCAGAGAGCUUACUGGCACAGACAUCUUCAUCCAGACCGUUUUUCAAAGCCUCAUGAAGAAGAUUGUGUGGUUCUCUGUCAGAUCUCCAACAUAGUCCAUGAAAGUGAAUCAUGCCUCUGGAUUUGGCAAACUCAUACCUGUACCAGAAAGUAUCAAUCUUAAAUGCAGUUUUCAUUACAGUUUCAAAGUAUUCUUGUGUCCGAAGAUUAAAGUAAUGUGAGACAAUGUGACUGUUAUUUUGAAGAAUAGAAAAUAGAAUGUUUUGUCGUUAAGAUCAACAAUUUCACCAGUUGUUUGUAGAUUGUAUUGAGUUAAAAGUCUCCUUAGUGGUGCAAAGUAAAAUUCAGCACAGCUAGCAGUGCUGAAAAAUGAAGGGAGGCCUUUUCCAGCAUUAAUUUGGUACUGAAUAAGUGCUCUUAACUCUUGUGCUCUUCUGGACCAGUAUUGUGAAGUUCCUCGAAGAGAAGCACCAAAGUACAAGAUUUUUUGUGCAAUAGAACUAUCACCAUUUUGAAUUCUUUGCUUAAGGUCAGUGAUGGACAUGUGCUCAUCACCGAUCUGUUGUUUCAUGAUGUAUGUGCUCUGUUCUAAAGCUCUUUUACGUGAAAUAAUGUUAUGAACUAUGAACUUAAAGUGCUUGUGUUGUGCAAAACGACCCUCUGUGUACCAUAUCAAAUGUUCUGCCCAUUCACUCAUUGAAAAGCAAGUUCUUGGCCGAUUUAUGUGAAAGUCACCAACACAAUUGGGAAACAAACAUGGAAAUGCAAGAGUAAAAAAAUAUUGAGUUGUAAACUAUGAAACUGGACUAUUGUCUCUUGUUGGCCAUGGAAUAGUUACUGGAUUUUUUCUCGAACAUUUUUCUUUACUUUUAGGAUCUGUUUAGUGUUAUUUCUUGUAAAAUGGAUUCAAUGUUAUUUCUAAUAUUAACUGAUUCGUCUGGUAGUUGAACAGCUGAAACAGUAUCGCCAUUUAUUUCAUCAGGUGAUACUUGUUCUUUAGCUGGCCCUUGGUCUUUAUCAGUUGUGCUUUCAAAAUUACUGCUGAUUGUUUCAAGAUUUAUUUUCCCAUUUUCAGGAAGAAGAUUAAGUCUAUCUUGACUAAUAGUUAUAUCUGAGUAGGCCACAUUGUUGGAUUUAAGCCAAUUCAGUGCUGAUUGAACUGCAAAACGCCUUACUUUAAAGUCUUUGUGUAUUGCAUUAUUUCCAGUUUUCCGGACACAAAUUAUUUGAAUAUCUGUUGGAAGUUUUGGUAAAAUUUGACAUGGUUCAUUUAUAUUUUGUGGAAAUGUAACACAAUGGCCAUUUGCCGCAAUUCCACCAUGCUUAAGCAUAUGAAUAUACAUGAGUGGUGAUAUUCUGCUUAUUAGUUGCUGUUCAACUAAAGAUAAAUGGGAAAGUUCUGCAGGGACAUUUCCAGGGUCCAUAUUGUUUUGUUUAGAGAACAUUUUAAUGUCUGAUUUGUCAAUGUGACAACGAUGACAAACUGUAUUAUUGUACAUUUUCAUUUCAAUUCUACGUUCGUUACAUAUGUUACAGUACUAAAAUAUGUAAGACCUUUGUUUUAACUCGAAUGAUCGUAUGCUAUCCAUUGCAAUGUUAUGCUGGACACUUUGAGACAUUGGUGGUGGAGGUGGUAUUUGAUUAAAAUUUAAUGUUAGGUUUUUGACUGCUACAGACAAGGCAUAGGCAUUUUUUUAAAUCCGUCUUUUUAUUUCUAGUUUAUCUUCAUUUUGGUGAGGAUGAACAAAUGUUAUACCCAAUUUUCUACAACUCUGAAAUGUGUCCAAUUCCUUAGGAGUAAGAGCAGCUGUGCUAAUGUGUUCAUGAGUUUGUUUAAAAAGUUGUGUAGCUUUUGUGUUUUUCUUAAGGCUGUUUACGUAAGUGAUUUUCAGCUUUGCUUUUUUAACAGCUUUUGAUGGUAUAGCACUUUUCUUGGACUUUUUUAUAUUCUUGCUUUGUUGUGUUUUUUGUGUGUGCAAUAUUGGAACUGUUGACAGAGGAUUUGUUAGUGUAUUUAUGUUUGUGGGAUUAUUUUGUGAUAAAUGUGUAUGUUUCAUUAAUGCUCUGUUGUUGCCUGUGUUUGAAGUGUUCUUCCUCUCUGAAAGUAGUGUAAAGUGACUGUUCCAUAGAUGAAGAGUCACAUUAAGAUCAGAGUUAUGUGGUUAUAAGUGAGAAUGUUUUGUGUAAACAAUUGAGGUUAGUCCUGUUUCAGAAUUGCAUAUGCUGCCUUUUAACCAUGUGUCUAUGUUUAUUAGUUAGAUAUCACAUGCUGCUUUAAUUUCACAUAUUGUUGCCCAACCGCAUCUUGCAAUCAUUUGUAAGUGAUAUUCUUCCACUGAAUCAUUUACUAAUUCAUGUCCGCAAAUGGCAGACUGCUGCCAUGAAUUCCAGUUUGCAGUGACAUGUGUACAAAUCAUGUUUCUAUAAUAAGUGCUCAUUGAUAUAGUACCAUGUAAUGCUAAACUGAGGCAGCUAAAGAAACAAUUGCCAUCACCUGGCACAUUAAAGUUGUUAAAAACGUUUCCUUCUAUUACCACUGAAUUUGCAUGCAUUUUUAAGGAAUCUAAAUUGUACAGUUGAAUAGUGGAAUGUGUUGUCUGUAUUUUUUUGCUUGAAUUAUAACGUGUGACACUUGUACCCGUGUUGUUUGGCCUUCUUUUUUUUGGAGAGUAUUAUUGGAAGAUAUUUGUUCAUUUGCAUGUAUUGAUUUAUUUAUUUCCAUAUGCUUGGUUGUGCAUCUUUGCGUCAAAUGCUUGUUUUCGUCAGUUACGUGUGUUACAAGAGGUUGCUUACUUGUAUUAGUUACACAGCAGUUAACAAUCCCAGUUUUACUAGCAUUUGACUGGUGAAGUGAAACGCAGUUGUUCAUUUCAGUAGUUUUUACUUUGGAAUGACAUGUAAUGCCUCGAAUUACUUCAGCGUACGUACGUUUUUGUGAUUUUGUGUAUUCAAACAGGUUGCUUUUGAACUCAAUCUAUUUUCAAUGUGUGGUUGCAUGCAGUAAUUAUGUUCAGCAUUUGUGACAUUUAAAUGAUCUGUAUUACCACAAAAAGUGGUGAAGUAAACAGGUUUUUGAACAGAGUGACUAAAAUAAGAAUGUUCAUGUGAAACACAAAUAUUAUUUUCUAUAGUUUGGACCUUUUGGUUAUUUAAAAUACUUUUUGUAACUUCGGCGUAAGUACGCUUUCUAGAAUUUGCUUUUGUUGCUUUCGUUGAACUUGAGUUUUUUUCAAUAUGCGUAGGGAUGCAGUAAGUAUGUUCAGUGCGACUUGUAGAAGACAUUUUUAUAAUGGGAAAUGUAUUACUUUAGUGAGCCAAAAUAACGCUUUAAUGAAAAUAAAUGAAAUAUCAAAUUAAAUGCUACUUUUCCUAUGGUAUCAGAAAAUUGAAAUUUCUCAAUGGUAUAAUAAUUGGAAUAAGUCUUUAAUAAGUAGUGAAAAAAUGCCAGUAAAAAUAAUAUAUACAACUGAAUUACAUGAAUAUGAAAUUAAAUGUUGAAAUUUCUAUACCAUAAAUACGUGAAUAUGUGAAGUUUCUUGACUACCAGUACUUUGAA